rnacentral:rRNA from 1 species
CCUACGUGGGGCAGCAGUGGGGAAUAUUGCACAAUGGGCGAAAGCCUGAUGCAGCAACGCCGCGUGAGCGAUGAAGGCCUUCGGGUCGUACAGCUCUGUCCUCAAGGAAGAUAAUGACGGGACUUGCGGAGGAAGCACCGGCUAACUACGUGCCAGCAGCCGCGGUAAUCGGUAGGGGGCUAGCGUUAUACGGAAUUACUGGGCGGAAAGGGUGCGUAGGUGGGUUCUUAAGUCAGAGGUGACAGGCUACGGAUAAACCGUAGUAAGCCUUUGAAACUGGGAAACUUGAGUGCAGGAGAGGAGAGUGGAAUUCCUAGUGUAGCGGUGAAAUGCGUAGAUAUUAGGAGGAACACCAGUUGCGAAGGCGGCUCUCUGGACUGUAACUGACACUGAGGCACGAAAGCGUGGGGAGCAAACAGGAUUAGAUACCCCAGUAGUC